AUUGAACGCUAGCGGGAUGCUUUACACAUGCAAGUAGAACGAGUGGCGGACGGGUGAGUAAUAUAUCGGAACGUGCCCAGUAGCGGGGGAUAACUACUCGAACGAGUGGCUAAUACCGCAUACUCUUGGAGCGGCCGAUAUCGGAGUAGCUAGUUGGUGGGGUAAAGGCUUACCAAGGCAACGAUCCGUAGCUGGUUUGAGAGGACGACAAGCAAGACUGGGAGUGAGACACGGCCCAGAAUCCGAAGGGAGGCAGCAGUGGGGAAUGUUGGACAAUGGGGGAAACCGUGAGCAAGCCAUCCCGCGUGUAUGAGAAGGCCUUCGGGUUGUAAAGUACGGUUGGCAGAGAAGCGGUAUCUGCAGAAUAAGCACCGGCUAACUACGUGCCAGCAGCCGCGGUAAUUC
rnacentral:rRNA from 1 species